AUUCCAGCUCCAAUAGCGUAUAUUAAAGUUGUUGCAGUUAAAAAGCUCGUAGUUGGAUUUCUGGACGGAGCAGCCGGUCCGCCGCUGUGCGGUGUGUACUCGUGCUUGACUCGGUUCAUCCUUGUGGGGAAGCGCAUUUCGGCAUUCAGUUGUCGAGGCGGGGAACCACAUCAUUUACUGUGAAAAAAUUAGAGUGUUUAAAGCAGGCAUUUUGCUGUGAAUACAUUAGCAUGGAAUGAUAACAUAGGACUUUGAUUCUAUUUUGUUGGUUGGAGAUCAAGGUAAUGAUUAAUAGGGAUAGUUGGGGGUAUUCAUAUUUACAUGUCAGAGGUGAAAUUCUUGGAUUUUGGAAAGAUGAACUACUGCGAAGGCAUUUACCAAGGAUGUUUUCAUUA
rnacentral:rRNA from 1 species